UGAGAACUUUGAAGGCCGAAGAGGAGAAAGGUUCCAUGUGAACGGCACUUGCACAUGGGUAAGCCGAUCCUAAGGGACGGGGUAACCCCGGCAGAUAGCGCGAUCACGCGCAUCCCCCGAAAGGGAAUCGGGUUAGCAUUUCCCGAGCCGGGAUGUGGCGGUUGACGGCGACGUUAGGAAGUCCGGAGACGCCGGCGGGGGCCUCGGG
rnacentral:ncRNA from 1 species